rnacentral:rRNA from 1 species
UGGGGAAUCUUGCGCAAUGGGGGAAACCCUGACGCAGCGACGCCGCGUGGAGGAUGAAGGUCUUCGGGUUGUAAACUCCUUUUCUCAGGAAAGAUGAUGACGGUACCUGAGGAAUAAGCCACGGCUAACUCUGUGCCAGCAGCCGCGGUAAGACAGAGGUGGCAAGCGUUGUUCGGAAUUACUGGGCUUAAAGGGCGAGUAGGCGUCCCGACAAGUCAGAUGUGGAAUCUUUUCGCUUAACGGAAAAAUUGCAUUUGAAACUGUCGGGAUUGAGUCAGUGAGGGGAGGGCGGAAUUCCCGGUGUAGCGGUGAAAUGCGUAGAUAUCGGGAGGAAGGCCGGUGGCGAAGGCGGCCCUCUGGCGCUGAACUGACGCUGAGGCGCGAAAGCGUGGGGAGCAAACAGG